UUCUGUUCCAGGUCCUCCGUGCGGCCCAGGAGGCAGCUGUUCCACCGGCCGGGAGAGCCUGGACUCGCAGACGGUGAGGGGCAACAGCCAAGGGGGUCAGACUGGCCUCCUCCCCAUGGCGGGAAACAAGGCUGCCAUCAGCUUCAUCCCAGAGAGAAGACUCCCAAGGAAGGCGGCCGAUUGUCCAGCUCGCGUCAGAUGGCCACUAUUUGUGUCCUUCUCCGCAAGCAUGCUCAAUUCUCUCUCCCUCCUCUCUCCCUUCCUGCACCAUGUUAUUCAGUCCCAGAGCUUUCGAUCCAUCUAGACGCCGAGGCAUCUCUGAAGGGGAGCACUGCCGUUGUACGUGCUGUCUGACGUCUGAAAACCCUUUAGUCGUUAGGGUGGAGGAAUCUCCCAUAAGAAAGAAACCCAUAUGGUUUAGUCUGUGAUAAAUGCUGUAACUGGAGGGGCUUAUGAACAUCAGAAAUUUCUUGCUCACAGUUCUGGAGGCUGGGAAGUCCACGGUCAAGGCGCUGGCACGGUCACCUCCUGGGCAGGGGCUCCGUUCUGGUUCAUGGUCAGCUUCUCACUGCGUCCUCACGUGGUGGACAGGCUGUAGCCCCACGCUUUAUGACGGCACAUCAUAUGAGAAGCUUAUUUCUUUUUCUUUUACUUAGAAAACUUUUCAGUGUGACAAAAUACACAUAGCACAACAUUUACUGACCUAAUCUGUAGUUCCCGUGGUUGUGCAACCAUCAGGAUCCAUCUCCAGAACGCCUUUCAUCUUGCAAAAGUCAAUCUCGAGACUCACAAAACAGUAACCCUCCCUUCCGCCUGGCCCCCAGCCCCUGGAAGCCACCAUCCUACUUGUCUCCACGAACGUGAUUCCUCCAGGUACCUCCUGUAAGUGGAAUCACACAGUCAUUGUCUUUUUGUCUGAUUUCACUUUGCAUGGUAUCCUCAAGGCUCACCCAUGAUGUGGUGUGUGCCACAAUUUCCUUCCUUUUCGCGGCUGAGUAAGAUUUCAUUGCAUGUGUAAACCACAUCUUGCUUAUUUAUUUUAAACCACAUUUUGCUUAAUUAUUUGUCAACGGCCAUUUGUUUCCAUCUUUUGUGACGAAUGCUGCUAUAAACAUGGGUGGACAAAUUA